GAUGAACGCUAGCUACAGGCUUAACACAUGCAAGUCGAGGGGCAGCACAGUGUAGCAAUACAUGGGUGGCGACCGGCGCACGGGUGCGUAACGCGUAUCCAACCUUCCCGUUACUCAGGGAUAGCCUUCCGAAAGGGAGAUUAAUACCUGAUGGUGUUGAAAUUCCGCAUGUUAUUUCAACUAAAGAUUUAUCGGUAACGGAUGGGGAUGCGUGACAUUAGGUAGAUGGCGGGGUAACGGCCCACCAUGCCUACGAUGUCUAGGGGUUCUGAGAGGAAGGUCCCCCACACUGGAACUGAGACACGGUCCAGACUCCUACGGGAGGCAGCAGUGAGGAAUAUUGGUCAAUGGUCGGAAGACUGAACCAGCCAAGUAGCGUGAAGGAUGAAGGUUCUAUGGAUUGUAAACUUCUUUUAUACGGGAAUAAAACCUCCCACGUGUGGGAGCUUGUAUGUACCGUAUGAAUAAGCAUCGGCUAACUCCGUGCCAGCCGCCGCGGUAACAC
rnacentral:rRNA from 1 species